rnacentral:lncRNA from 1 species
AUACUCCCUCUGUAACUGACAAGUCAUUUCUCAAGGGUCAGUCAGAACACCUGUUAAUCCAGGUUUCAGGUGAGACCAAAAAAGUGCCUCACACACUUCUGAUUCAUUCUCCUCUGCAUUGAAGCCAUGAAGUGGGUAAAGUUCUUUGCCUAUCUCACCUUCUUUCAUUCAGAAGUAAUAUCAGAUAUCCAGUUGGAACAAGACCAAACCCUGACUGCCCAUGUUGGAAGAACUAUCACCUUACAUUGCACCUUGAAAGGAGGGGACUUGAAAAGCCAUCAAAUGAGCUGGUACAAAAAAAAGUGGGAUAACUCCUUGAUUUUCAUAUAUCAGUUCAGUGAAAAAUAUGGUGAUGGUUUCCAGAAAAAUUUCUUAGGGAAUCUAGAUUCUGACAACUUCACACUUACAAUUCUCAAGGCAGCAGUAAAGGACUCAGGGACUUAUUACUGUGGUUCAGUUAUCCACAGUGUGGCAACUCUACUUCUGAGUCAUUCAUAAACCCAGGGGAUCUUAAGAGUAGGUGAUGACUUCAAUUAGAGCCUAUUUUUUACUGUAAUAUGCCAGACCUAAGAUGACAUCACCUGAUAUUUCAACAGAAGCCCAGGAAAUGCUUGAUAUAAGGCUCAGAAAAGAAUAGGGAGUGAUGGCCUUAUCUUCAUAAUUGGCUUUGUGGGUUGCUGCUUUUUUUUUCUUUUCUCAAGCCAGGGAUGAUCAUAAUAGAGAAGGCAGUUUAAGACUUUUUUAGAGUUAUUGAGGGCCCUCUGCACUUGCCUGUCUCAGAAUCCACUGAAUAAGGGCUUGAAACAAUGGCCUGUAAUUUUGCCUGAGAACCCUCCUUCUUACUCCUGGGGAUGACGAAGCGCCUGGGACAAAGAGAACUUCUAAUAUCCUGAAGGCCACCACUUGAUCCAGAGGCAACAGUGUGUACAAACCAGAUAAAAGAAAAUGGGCUAGAUUCCCAUUACUAUUCUAAUCAAACUUUCCCCAGCUACUGCCAUUUCUCAGCUCUUACCUCUGUAAGAAAAGAUAAAUGGUGUCAUUUUCUGGAGGCUUAGUUUCAAACAAAUAAAUGUGUUCCUUAAGAAAGUGAGAUAUUGAAUAAGCCAUUAAAAGUGGAUAACUUUCAUCCCAUCAUUUUUAUUAGUUCACCUUUUUGUGCUGCUGCCUAGGUCUCUGUCCUGGUGCCUGCUUUGCUCCCUAUUCCAUCCAUGAAGCUAAGUCAUGGAUACUUUUCCUUUGCCAGAUUUUUCCCAUGGAUAUGCC